AGUACAAUGUAAUGGCAUUGUGCUGUUCCACGAUUCACAAUGCACAGGAAAAAGUCAACCUUCUCCCUAAUGGUCUUCAAUUCCAACAUUGAAACUGAGGGAUUGGAAUUGAAACAGCAAAAGAAAUGUCCCUAACCUACUUGCGCCUUACAAGAGAGAACCACCCAAUCAACACGUAGCAAUUCAGACUAUCCCCAUGUGAUGGAUGGGUCAUCUCAGGAGCAGCUUCCUCUGCUCAGUAUAACACAUUUGCUGAACAAGAUGAAACUAUGUUCCUGAACAACUGCUGGUGCAAGCUUCCAGCUUCCAGAAUACAAUUUGUGUGUGUGAGAAGUAGAUUAAGCUGACUUUAUUCGUCCAAUUGUACAGAAGGUCCAACGGAUAUUUCACUUCCGCUUUAUCCCGACCCCUCCGAAAGCCACACAUACACACAUGUUGGAGAGGUU
rnacentral:lncRNA from 1 species